GACGAACGCUGGCGGCGUGCUUAACACAUGCAAGUCGAACGGUAAGGCCCCAGCUUGCUGGGGUACACGAGUGGCGAACGGGUGAGUAACACGUGGGUGACCUGCCCCGCACUUCGGGAUAAGCCUGGGAAACUGGGUCUAAUACCGGAUAGGACCGCACCGUGAGGGGGUGGUGGAAAGUUUUUCGGUGUGGGAUGGGCCCGCGGCCUAUCAGCUUGUUGGUGGGGGAAUGGCCUACCAAGGCGGCGACGGGUAGCCGGCCUGAGAGGGUGGACGGCCACAUUGGUGCUGCGGCACCGCCCAGACUCCUACGGGAGGCAGCAGUGGUGAAUAUUGCACAAUGGGCGGAAGCCUGAUGCAGCGACGCCGCGUGGGGGAUGACGGCCUUCGGGUUGUAAUCUCCUUCCACCAUCGACGAAGGUUUUCUGACGGUAGAUGGAGAAGAAGCACCGGCUAACUACGUG
rnacentral:rRNA from 1 species